GGGAGACAGAUCCUAGACCUGGUGAGGAGAGACAGAUCCUAGACCUGGUGAGGGGAGACAGAUCCUAGACCUGGUGAGGAGAGACAGAUCCUAGACCUGGUGAGGAGAGACAGAUCCUAGACCUGGUGAGGAGAGACAGAUCCUAGACCUGGUGAGGAGAGACAGAUCCUAGACCUGGUGAGGUGAGGAGAGACAGAUCCUAGACCUGGUGAGGUGAGGAGAGACAGAUCCUAGACCUGGUGAGGAGAGACAGAUCCUAGACCUGGUGAGGAGAGGAGAGACAGAUCCUAGACCUGGUGAGGAGAGACAGAUCCUAGACCUGGUGAGGUGAGGGGAGACAGAUCCUAGACCUGGUG